CGCCCAUCUUCGCCAUUUGGAAAGAGCACCAUCAUUUUACUUUUUUUCGCUGACAAGAAAUUAACCGAAAAAAAACGCCCAAAUUCACCAUCCUUUCAUCUCUCCCUUUCUCUCUCCUCUUGUCUUCACUCUCCCCAAACCCUAGUUCUACUGAACAGGUAAAUUAUCCCAAAUUAACUAUGUUUGCGAAUUAAUUUUGAGCUUUUUAAGGAGCAAUUCUAUUUCGAAUUCAUAUUUCAAGCAGACGAAGAACACUGAUCUUUUGAAUUUAUUGGAAAUUUUCGGCUUCGUCCGGUAAUCCAGGUUUUGUUGCAGAGUUUGCUAAGGUCAAUGGGUUUUGAUAAUGAUUGCAUUUUAAAUAUUCAAUCACUUGCUGGAGAAUACUUCUGUCCUGUGUGUCACCUUCUUGUCUACCCGAAUGAGGCUUUGCAAGCGCCAUGCACUCACCUUUACUGCAAACCUUGCCUGACUUAUGUUGUCAGCACUACACAUGCUUGUCCUUAUGAUGGAUACAGGGUGACUGAAGCCGAUUGCAAGCCACUGCUGGAGUCAAAUAAAACAUUGGCAGACACAAUUGGAAAAAUACAAGUCCAUUGCCUCUACUAUCGGACUGGAUGUACAUGGCAAGGUCCUCUAUCUGACUGCAUAUCUCAUUGUUCAACAUGUUCAUUUGGGGAGUCGCCAGUUCUAUGCAACAGAUGUGGAGUUCAGAUUGUGCACCGCCAAGUGCAAGAGCAUGCACAAAGCUGUCCUGGCGUGCAGUCUCAGGCCCAACAACCAAGUAAUGCUCAGGAUGGCACAUCCACAGGCGCUGUAGCAGAUCAAGCACAGACUGCAGCUCAGGCAGUCUUACCUGCUUCUCAAGCUCAGACAUCACAAGCUUCUGCUUCGCUUGCAUCUGGUCAGGAUAACCAAACAGUCAGUACAGCUGGGCAACCACAGGCUGCACAAGCUGCCAUGCCAACUGCUGAGCAGUGGUAUCAGCAACAGCAACAGUACCAGCAGCAAUACCAGCAGUAUUAUCAGCAGUAUCCUGGAUAUGAUCCUUACCAACAGAACUAUCAAUAUUAUUAUCAAUAUCAACAAGGAGCUCAACAGUAUCCACAGCAACCCACGCAAGGUUAUCCUCCUCAGGCAUAUGGUCAAGCUCAGACCCAGAUUUCUGGUCAAGCUCAGGCUCAACCCCAACUUCAAGCUCAGCAGCAGGCUCAGCCUCAUGCUCAGCCCCAGCCACAACAGCAGACCCAGCCACAACAGCAGACCCAGCCACAACAGCAGCCCCAAGCUCCAUCCCGAAUUGCGCAGCCUUCUGUGCAAACAAAUUUCCAACCAUCAGCCAGUGUUCAGUCCCAAGUCCAGCCAGUGGGUCAAGCGCAACCUCAAAUGCAGGUUCAGGGUCAAGCACCUCCAUCUCAUUCCCUUCCAUAUAACCAGUCUCAGCCAUUACCCCAGGCUCAACCUUAUGCUCAGCCACAGCCCAUUACUCAGCAGCAGACACCAGUGCCUCAGUACCAGCAAACUCAUCCUCAUGCCCAAUCUUAUCCACCGUCAGAAACUCAAACCCAGCAUUACCCCUACACACAGCCACAGGCUCAUUCUCAACAGAUUAUGCAGGCACCUGCCCACCCACCUUCUCAACAAAACCAGCCUUUGAAUCCCAAUUCCCAGCCUCAGACUCAGAGCGCUGUAACUGGUUACCAAUCAUAUCCGCAGCCACAGCCUCAUCCGCAAGCACAGGUGGGAGUUGCUCAUCCAAUGCAUGCAUCUGGUGCCCAGCCACAACCUCAGUACCCUGGGCAAAUACAAGGGAAGUUUCCUUCACAACCAUCUCAGAUGUAUUCUUCUCAACCUUAUUCUAAUGUGGCAGUGCAACAACAGCCAACUAUGUCAUCUGCACAAGUUCAGCCUCCAAGCGGGCCUCCAUCGCAACAGCUCCCUGUUUAUCCUCAUUCCCAGCAGCCUGGAUAUCCGUUUCAGCAUCGUCCUGGUGUGCAGGCUGCACAGCAAGCUGCUCCACAGCAGUUUGGGCAACAGCAGCCAUUCCCUGGCCAUGGUCCAUUUACACAGCCACAGCCACCUAUGGCAGCUCAAUUACAUGCUCAGGGCCCUCCUCAAAUGCUACAGCAUUCUCAGCAAAAUUAUGCACCAGGGUAUAUUGCUCAGCCUAAUAUUGCUCAAAACUAUGCAGCUAGACCAGUGACCGCACAAGGAGCUGGAUCACAACCACAUCUCCAGGCUGCUGGUGCUGGUCAGGUUAGGCCUCCACAGCUUAAUCAGGCUUACCCUAUGAGAACAGACAGUCAGCUAUCUACUGCCUCUGAACAUAAGGCUGGUCAUCCUCAACAAUUUCCAAAAGCAACGGGGGGUGAGAAGCCUCGUGAUCAAAAUGAUCCUAACAAGGAGUCUGGUGCAGGGGUUCAGGUGAUUGAAAAUAAAUUAAAAUCAGAAAAUGCCCUGGAUGGUAAUGGGAACGAGAAUGAAAGUAAAUUAGCUGCUACAGGGUCCAAUUUAUUAGGAAGUGAUAAUCAAGAACGCAAACAAAGGAUGAAGGGAGAUGCUUCAGAGGAUGCAACAGAAUUCUCAAAUGGUAAUAACACAACUAAUAUUGGUUCUGAUACCCAUAAAGAUGCCCGAAAGAAGGCUGAAGUACAAGACUUAAAGCAUGCAGCCAAAAGUGCAGGAGAUGCAGCAGCUGCUGUCUCCAAUAUGCCUCAUUCACAUUUAAACUCGCAAGUUCAUGGCACUAAUUCAUUUCCUGCCGUUGACCAGGGAAGAAAUCAAAUGCAGUCAAUGCAGUAUGGGCCUUCUGCCCAACACAGACCUGGUGCUGCGUCUAUGCCUCAGUCAACACCUCAACUUUCAAUUACUCAGCAGCCUGGGUUGGGUUCUCAACCUGGUCAAUUAAGGCCUCAAGGACCUGGACAAGCUCCCCCUAGACCGCCUUUCAAUGCAGCUGAUAUUCCCCAGACAUCUAUUCCAAAGCAUCCUCAUGGUCUUACCCCUCAUGAAAUUGCAUCCGGAGGAAAUCUGGGCCCUGCCUCAUCAGGACCCUUUGUUAGACCUGGUAAUAUGGGUUAUCAUCAAGGAAAUAUGCCACCUUACCAAGCUGGACAACCUCAUAAUCUUCCAGGGGAACCUUUUGUUGGUGUAGGGGGUAGAGAACGUGCUGAUGCUGAGCAGCGUCCUCCAUAUAUGAUGGAAAAUGAAAAGUUUCAGGCUCACAGGCCUGGAUAUUUUGAUGGUAGAAAGCCAGAUUCCCUCCCUCAUGGAUCCAUGGAUCGAGCUCCUUAUGGGCCUGCUCAUCCUGGGAUCCAGCCUGGAGCUAUGAAAUUUCCUGAGGAGCGUGGUAUGAUGGAUGAAAGGGGUAAGAUGUUUCCUGAGGAGCGUUUGAAACCCUUUCCUCACAGGGACUUUGAAGACGAUUCGAGGAAAUUCCCUAGACCUUCUCAUUUUGAAGCUGGGCCUUCAUCUAAAUAUGGUACUCAUUUGCCGUCAUCUAGACCACUUGAUCAUGGUUCUCAUAUGUUUGGUGGAGAUGGAAUGCCGAGGCCCUUUGACAAGGCGCCACAUGGACUCAAUCAUGAUUCUGGACUGAAAAGGGAUUCUGGUGUUGGUUCUGGUCCUUCAAGAUUUCUGCCUCCAUUUCAUCUUAAUGAUGCUGGUGAAAGGAGCAGAACUGCAGGGUUUCCUGAUGAUGACAUGGGGAGAGGGGAUUUUGGGCAUCGUCCUGAUUUUCCUGGACCAGCUCCUGGUCCUGGAUUUGGACGGCCCCGAAUGGAUGGUUUUCCGCCUAGAAGUCCAGGUAGGGACUUUCCAGGUUUUCCUUCUCGUACAUUUGGAGCCUUUGGGGAUGAUGUGGGAAACAAAUCACGACGUUUUGAAGGUUCCAGACCCUACAAUUUUCCCACUGAACCAUUUGGGAAAUCAAUGCACGAGAACAGGUUUCCGAUUCCACCAAAUCAUGUACAAAGGGGUGAGCUAAGUGAUCAUUUGGUUGGUGGCCCACGUAAUCCAGAUAUGUUGCCUAAUCAUUUACGAAGAGAACAUAUGGGUCCUCGAAAUAUGCACAUGGGAGAAGGGACUGCUUUUGGACUCCCUGGGGGUCAUUCCCGGAUGGGAGAACCCCCUCUGGCAGGGAAUUUUCCACGUCAUCUACCCUUUGGCGAAUCCUUUGGAGGUGAAAAGCCAGGGCACCCUCUGGUAGGAGAGCAUGGAUUCAGGGGCAGCUCUGGUUUUAAUCGUUAUGGACGUGAUGGUGGAUUUUUUCCAGAGGAGAUGGAUACUUUUGAUAACCCAAGAAAGCGGAAACCUGGAAGCAUCAUGUGCCGUAUUUGUAAAGUGGAGUGUGGAACCGUGGAAGGCUUGGACUUGCAUUCACAAUCAAGAGAGCACCAGAGAAAGGCUAGGGAUAUGGUCUUAAGCAUCAAGCAGUCAAAUAAAAAGAAACAGAAGAUAUCAAAAGAUCAAGGUUCAAUUGAAGGAAGAGAUGCAGGCAGGCCAAAGAAUUUCAGUUUUCAGGGUCGAGGAAAUAAGCGUUAAAGGCUUGAUGAUUGUUUUGGCUGACAAGCAAUCCAGUGGUUUUGUAGCUGACAGACUGAAUUUGUUCCUUCAGUAUUUUGCGUUUAGUGAAGUAGGUGAUGCAGCUUUCUGUAUCUCUUUCUUUUGCUGGUUGGUUUAUGCCAGUUUUGUCAUUUCAGGUUGCUGCUAUGUUAGUGGAGAUGGUAUUUUGGGACUGAAGUAUCAGUGGCAAUAAUGUCCACUGAAUCCGUCUUUUUCGGCGAUGCUGACAAGGAAAGGCUGAAAAGCAGAGUGGUUUACCUUGCAGUCGUCUUUAGAGUGUGGCUAGACAAUCUGGUGCAGGAUGGUGUUUCGUUCUGUUAAAGGUUUGUGAAUCUCUUGUCUGGUUUGAAGUACCUAAGGAUGCAGAUGCAGCUUUGCCAUCCCCUUUUGUCCCUAGGUGCGUUAAGAGAAUCCUAUGAGGCAUCACCUUGGGGUGUCAUGUAUUGUAUCCUCGUUACCUGUCGAAACACUGAAGGUAUGUGUGCUUCAAAUGGUUUUUGUUUUAAAUUGCCAAAAACUGUGUAUGACAGAUUUAAUUUUUCUGAAGACAAGUUAUGCUGUUAUUCGCUGGUUGUUCUCUAGGUCUACUACCGUAUGUGACCAUGGAAGAGUUCCUUUUGAUUGAACAGCCUAUUUCAUUUAGGGUGUUUGGUUCACGGCUAUUGAUUGAUAUAAUUGCAUAUUGCUAAGCUAUAAAUUAUUUUAUUUUAGUGUCUGUCCUUACUAGUUUGAUUACCGAAGACUUCUUGUGUGAAAAUUUAUCAGAAGUUAGAAUUGCCUUUGAACUUAUAUGCUACUGUUUGAUGUUUAUGGACCUCUGUUCUGAUGCUCAACUAGAAAUAAUUAAAUAAGCUGAAACUUUCUUUCGACUGUUUCUCCUUGACAUUGCUUGUCCUGAAAUUCAUUUUGUACUAUGGUGAUUCUUGGCUUCUUGCUUUCGAAAGCAUUCUUUCCUUAUAUGGGGUAGAAUUCCAUAAAUAUCUCCCUGAUUCUUCCUAGAUUUCUCAUGGCCUUUUGAACGAUUGCUUAGUGAGUGAACUACAAGCGCUCAUAGAGACAUUCUCUGAGUCUGAAUUUGCUUACUCCUAAGAGUCUAGUUCAAGACUUGACUUCUCACUGUAGAAAGUGGAUUUUAUAUGGUAUACAAGCAUUUGGACCCCUGAUGUUCCUGAACUCUUUCCCAACAUAACGUGUGGAUUGUUAGGCUAACAGAAAUUUCUUUAUGUGUUCAUUUCUAUAGAAAGUAAUACUUGUAUGUUUUUGUAGAAUUGUAGGCAAUACUUCCGUAUCCAGUUGAGAGUGUGGUUAGCACUACUCAUUAGCCAUUGAACACAAACUACUUUGUUGGGGAGGUUUUUUUUCCCCUUCUUUUGUUCUUGUUGGGAUAAAAUACCUGUUAAGUAGACAUAAUUACUGGGUAGGGUCACAAUAUUCAUGUAGGUGUGCAGUGCUGUUCUGCUGCUAAGGUGGUGGUGUUAUAGCAAGGUUGUUCUAGUGGUCAAAUUAUUGUUUUAUUGAAGCAUAAUAAUAAGUUUUUGUUUUGUUUUAUUUUUUUGGGUCGGGGGGAAGAGAGGAUAUACGAGCCUGAUUUUUUGUAAAGACUCUGUUAACUCCCCUAGAUUCAUUAGAUAGCUGAGCUUUUGCUUGUUGACAGUACUCACAAUUUGUCCUCAGUGUUUGGUGAUGCUAACCCUAACAGUUAUUUUGCAGUAUGAUUAUUUAUGUAUAUUUUGCUAGGUGUAGACAACUGAAAUCCUGCACUUUUUUGUGGAGAGGCCUCUUGAUGUCCAGCACUUGUUAUCUCAUUCGUGCAAGUUGCAACUUAUUUUUUCAUCUAAUUAUAUUUACCUGUGUGUAUUCAGUUUGUAUAUAUUAAACAGUAUGGUAAUGGAUGCAGAAAUUUGAUUUAA